AAAUACAAUAUGGAUGUAUAAUUUUUUUUGUUUCAUUAUAUACCAAAUUAUAUAAUGGAGGUUUUUGUACAUACACCAUAAGCCAAAAGUUCAUGUGAAUUCAAAAUAUCGACAAAAACAGUUUACUUUUGUCUAUAUAUAUGUUAAUAUAUUUGUAUUUAACUAUUAGGAUACCAGUAAUAUAAUUUAAAGGGAACAUGUCCAGAUCAAGACAUUAUGGUAUGACGGAAGCAAAGGAGAUGCACAAAAGUGCAAUUGACGAAACAUAGACUGUUCGGAGGAGAUGUCAAGUGAAUGAACCAUCAGUGGUUUUAUUUUCAGUGUGUUGAAGGCAAUAUAUACCAAGAUUAGAGGUUGCUGCUGGAUCCUCGGCCGCAGGGGAUCCCAGGACGGAGCGUGGCGAGGUUUGACCCACAGCUCGCGAGUGAGGGCCUGGCGGCUUCGGGCGGAGGAGGCAGCAACGACUGUGUCAGGCCUCCCCUGCUCACCGAUACGUUGGGCCCAUGCGCGAGGCAACUCUGCGGGGUGGGGCCCCCUCCGGCGAGCCCCCCACCGCUUCUCCAUGGCCCCCUUCUGGCCAUCUGUGAUUCCGUGGUGGCGCCAUGAGAGGAUACCGUGGGUGAAAAUGUGAAAUGAUGGUGCAUAUGUGACGCGGUGGGCUGGGUCCUCCACCUCAGCCCAUGGACCCGUCCCAAGGUGAUUAGGAGAGUCUUAUGAUCAACCAAUCACUGAGGCAGAUGCGUACAAGGUGGAUCAACGCUUGCUGAUUGCCUUGAUGUUUGAUGCAUUUGUGCAUCGUGUUUUUAA